AACCCAGUUCAAAAUAGAUGGCAAAGUAAUAGAGCUGGAAGAAUCAAACUUUGAAUCAGCAAUCUCAGCCUUUGACUUGAUCUUGGUCGAUUUUUAAGCUCCCUGGUGCGGCCACUGCAAGCGCCUCACUCCUCAGGUUAGGAAGCUGGAUGGUCAACACACAAAAGAAACAACUAUGUUAUGCAGCCAUCGGAAUGGUCGCAUUUUAACAUCAGGAGGCCUUGUUGAAUCCAUUAUCAAUCAUGGUCUGGAUUGCUUCUAGUACUACAUGAGAAAGAAGUGGAAGAGUACAGUCCAAGUAGAAAUGAUAUCAAUCCAAGUGCAAAUGAAUCUAGUAGGUUUCCUUCUGAUUUGAAUGAAUUCCCUCAAGAUUUUUUUUCGGAUGAACAAUGGAUGUGAUUGCCACAACUACGCAGAUCCCUGUUGACAACGAUGGAGCAGAAUCUAGUGGAAGUGAUUACUUUGAUGAAGAUGAAACCUAGUGAAAGUGACUACUUUGAUGCAGAUGAAUUUGAACCUAGCUACUGAAAGUGAUCUACUUUUAAAAAUGAUGAAGAUGAAUGACUUCCUAAAGAAUUGAA